rnacentral:rRNA from 1 species
GACGAACGCUGGCGGCGUGCCUAAUACAUGCAAGUCGAACGAGAGCGACCGGUGCUUGCACUGGUCAAUCUAGUGGCGAACGGGUGAGUAACACGUGGGUAACCUGCCCAUCAGAGGGGGAUAACAUCCGGAAACGGAUGCUAAAACCGCAUAGGUCUUCGAGCCGCAUGGCUUGAAGAGGAAAAGAGGCGCAAGCUUCUGCUGAUGGAUGGACCCGCGGUGCAUUAGCUAGUUGGUGAGGUAACGGCUCACCAAGGCCGUGAUGCAUAGCCGACCUGGGAGGGUGAUCGGCCACAUUGGGACUGAGACACGGCCCAAACUCCUACGGGAGGCAGCAGUAGGGAAUCUUCCGCAAUGGACGCAAGUCUGACGGAGCAACGCCGCGUGAGUGAAGAAGGUUUUCGGAUCGUAAAACUCUGUUGUUAGAGAAGAACAAGUGCUAGAGUAACUGUUAGCGCCUUGACGGUAUCUAACCAGAAAGCCACGGCUAACUACGUG